UUCACUUCCCUUCUCCGCCUCUUCUUUCUCUGUCACUCACUCUUCGACCCUCCUUCAACUGCACAUCGCCGUUCUCAUCUUCAAUUCCUCCACCACCACCACAUCUUCAGUACCACCGCAAUCACCACUUAAUAGAUGGGUUAUAAAUGGAACAUGGGUUUUGUAUCUCAUAUACCCUGGAAGGACGGAGGGAAAAUGGUUGAUCUGGAUAUUUAUUUGGUACGUGAGGAGUCGGAAAUGGGGUUUUCAUAAAGAGGAAAGGAAAUUUGGGACUAGAAGUUGAUCUGACGAAAGUGGGUGCAUAUGACAAUGGAAAAAGGGAAUUCCUAUAUGCAUGAAAACAUAGAAUGCUAUAGCUUCAAAAUACCUUACACGUGAUUCUUCCUAAAAUUGCGAUGCUGAAAGAAAGCAGGUGACAUAAUUAGAUCAAUUUGUAACUGGAAAAGCUGAAAGAUAGUGCUUGUGAUGCUGAUGACAUAAUGGAUGAAUUCUCUUAUGAAACUUCCUCUGAUCAAGCUAUAGUUGAAAAAGCUUAAAGACAGUGCUUGCAAUGCUGAUGACUUAAUGGAUGAGUUCUCCUACGAAACCUCUUGAGGUUACACCAAUAGAAAUAGCUAGAACACUUGAAGUCUUGAAGCAUAUGUGAUUUUGCGGCAUCUCCCAAUUUCGUUUCAAGCUGGCUAAAAGAUUUGCAGAUAUUAACUUUAAAUUAAAGAUUUCAGCAGUAAUAUAGUUUCCUGAUUACUAUAAUGACUUCUCCUCUCAUCAGUGAAUGACAGAUAAAAAGAGUGACCUUGUCAAAUGCUACUCCAAGAGUAAUCAAUGUGGUGGUCAUGGUAUGAAAUGAGUUUUUAUUUCUUAUCUAAGGUUUGAAAUGAGUUGCAAAACCUACCUUACAAAUUGUGGAUUACAGUCAGUGGAUUCUCCGUCCCCUACCUGCAGCGUCCAUCUGCAACUUCUCCCAAUUCCCUUUCUACAACUUCUCCCAAUCCCGUCUACAACUUCUGUUUGUCCCACAUUGUCUGUUGAAGAAACUAACUACGCGAACGUAGUUUAGAAUAAUGAUAGGUUUAUAGCUUAUCUUUCUGAGUUCAUUUUGUCUUCUUGUAUUUCGGUACAGAUACUUGAGGUCAUCAAAUAUGUGGUUAUUUGCUUUAGAGUCUCGUGUAGUAUUUGGAUGAGCAGAUGUGUAAUUAGAACAGCUCCUUUUGCUUUUUCAUUUGAAAUUAUGAUGCAAUGUUAUCUUUUUCUCAAAA